GAUGAAGAACGCAGCGAAAUGCGAUAAGUAGUGUGAAUUGCAGAAUUCCGUGAAUCAUCGAAUCUUUGAACGCACAUUGCGCCUUCUGGUAUUCCGGAAGGCAUGCCUGUUCGAGAGUCAUUAACAACCGUUUCGAUCCCUUUCUUUCAGAAAUUACAAAGAGGAAAAGGGUUUGGUUAUGGUGGAGGAGGGAAAGGGAGCGUUUAGCCUGUAAAAAAAGAGGCUGUGUUCCGCCUCCCCCCCAAAAUUGUACAGGCGGUCGUGUGCGCCCACGCAUCGAGGUGUUGUAAAAGCUGCCACGGCACUUUUCACCUGUGCAGUGCGAGAUUGGCCAGCCGGUUUAAAAACCCCUCCAAGCAAUCAAAGGUUGACCUCGGAUCAGGUAGGGAUACCCGCUGAACUUAAGCAUAUCAAUAAGCGGAGGA
rnacentral:misc_RNA from 1 species